CAGUCGCCGCGGGAAUACCAGCACCUCGAGUGGUCAGGAGGUUUAUUGGGCCUAAAGCAUCCGUAGCCGGUUGCAUAAGUUUUCGGUUAAAUCUAUGCGCUUAACGUAUAGGCCGCCGAAAAUACUGUGCAGCUAGGGAGUGGGAGAGGUACACGGUACUCGAUAGGAAGGGGUAAAAUCCUUUGAUCUAUUGAUGACCACCUGUGGCGAAGGCGGUGUACCAGAACACGUUCGACGGUGAGGGAUGAAAGCUGGGGGAGCAAACCGGAUUAGAUACCCGAGUAGUCCCUGUCUCUUAUAC
rnacentral:rRNA from 1 species